GGUUUGAGAAAAGACACAGGAAUAUGUCGGUUCACCUGUCUCCUUGCUUCAGACUAUGGAACAAUACUCUUCUGACUGAGGGACUGACCACCUCAAAACUUCAAGGGUGAUGGAGUGAUUACAUUGUCUUCACGUCUCUUCUGCUAUCAACUUCUGUACUCGACUGAAGAAGCCUAAUGUGUAGGCGAAACGUUUCAAAAUAAAGAUACCUAGCUGUUGCAUAUGUAUCUUACCUAACAACCUGUCGGUAUUUUAUACCAUUUUAAUAUUCAAAAAAUAAUCUGCACCUUACAUCAGAUUUUAUUUUGAUUUACAUGCAAAUUUUUUCUUGCAGCUAUCCUCCUAUAUCCACAAAAUUCUGCUGCACAUACUAACACUGCAUUCUUAAAUCAGCCCCAUACCUCUUGACAUCAUCCUUAUGCUGUCACUAACCCAUUUUUCACCCAGCAAUCCUAAGCUUAUAUCUUGCCCUAUUUUUUUUUUUUUAACAAGUCGGCCUUCUCCCACCGAGCAGGGUGACCCAAAAAGAAAGAAAAUCCCCAAAAAAAAAAAUACUACUUUCAUCAUCAUUCAACACUUUAACCUCCCUAACAUAUAAUCACUGUUGUUGCAGAGGUGCUCAGAAUACAACAGUUUAGAAGCAUAUACAUAUAAAGAUACACAACAUAUCCCUCCAAACUGCCAAUAUCUCAAACCCCUCCUUUAAAGUGUAGGCAUUAUACUUCCCAUUUCUGAGACUCAAGUCCAGGUAUGUAAAAAUAACCGGUUUCCUUGAAUCCCUUCACUAAAUGUUGCCCUGCUCACACUCCAACAGCUCGUCAGGUCCCAAAUACUAUUCAUCUUCAUUCACUCCUAUCUAACGUGCUCGCGCACACUUGCUGCAAGUCCAAGCCCCUCACCCACAAAACCCCCUUUACCCCCUCCCUCCAACCUUUUCGAGAACGACCCCUACCCCCCUCCCUUCCCCUACAGAUUUAUAUGGUCUCCAUGUCAUACUACCUUGAUCCAUUAUCUUUAAAUGACCAAACAACCUCAACACCACACAUUGCCCUUAGACAGGACAUCUCCACUGCCUCCAACCAUCUCCUCACUGCAGCAUUCACAACCCAAGCUUCACACCCAUAUAAGAGUGUUGGUACCACUAUACUUUCAUACAUUCUCUUCUUUGCCUCCAUAGAUAACAUUUUUUGUCUCCACAUAUAUCUCAAUGCACCACUCACCUUUUUUCCUUCAUCAUUUCUGUGGUUAACCUCAUCAUUCAUAAAUCCAUCCACUGACAUGUCAACUCCCAAAUAUCUGAAAACAUUCACUUCUUCCAUACUCCUCUCAAAUUUGAUAUCCAAUUUUUCUUUUAUCUAAAUCAUUUAUUACCCUACUCACCUUACUCUUUUCUAUGUUUACUUUCAGUUUUCUACCUUUACACACAUUCCCAAACUUGUCCACUAACCUUUGCAGUUUUUCUUUAGAAUCUCCCACAGUAUUAUCAGCAAAAAGUAACUGUCAAUUCCCAGUUGUAUUUGAUUCCCCUUAAUUUAAUCCCACUCUCUCUCCCGAACACCCUAGCAUUUACUUUUACAACCCCAUCUAUAAAUACAUUAAACAACCAUGGUGACUUCACACAUCCCUGUCUAAGAUCUACUUUUACCGGGAAGUAGUCUCCCAAUCUUCUACACACCCUAACGUGAGCCUCACUAUCUUCAUAAGAACUCUUUACCGCAUUUAGUAACUUACUACUUAUUCCAUAUACCUCCAUCAUCUGCCACAUUCCUCCCCUAUCCACUCUAUCAUAUGCCUUUUCUAAAUCCAUAAAUGCAAUGAAAACUUCUCUACCUUUAUCUAAAUACUUUUCACAUAUAUGCUUCAAUGUAAACACUUGAUCCACACAUCCCCUACCCACUCUAAAACCUCCUUGCUCAUCCGCAAUCCUACAUUCUGUUUUACCUCUAAUUCUUUCAAUAAUAACUCUGCCGUACACUUUUCCUGGUAUACUCGGUAAACUAAUUCCUCUUUAAUUUUUACAAUCUCUCUUGUACCCCUUCCCUUUAUAUAAAGGGACUAUACAUGCUCUCUGCCAAUCCCUAGGUACCUUCCCCUCUUUCAUAUGUUUAUUAAACAAAAAUACCAACCACUCCAACACUAUCUGCUCCUGCUUUUAACAUUUCUGUCAUGAUCUCGUCGGUUUCAGCUGCCCCACCCCUUUCAUUCUACGUUAUGCCUCACGCACCUCCCCCACACUCACAUCCUGCUCUUCUUCACUCCUAAAAGAUGAUAUACUUCCCUGGCCAAUGCAUGAAAUUACCACCUCUCUUUCUUCGUCAACAUUUAAAAGUUCCUCAAAAUAUUCCCGCCAUCUACCCAAUACAGUGGACCCCCGCAUAACGAUCACCUCCCAAAGCGACCAAUUAUGUAAGUGUAUUUAUGUAAGUGCGUUUGUACGUGUAUGUUUGGGGGUCUGAAAUGGACUAAUCUACUUCACAAUAUUCCUUAUGGGAACAAAUUCGGUCAGUACUGGCACCUGAACAUACUUCUGGAAUGAAAAAAUAUCGUUAACCGGGGGUCCACUGUACCUCCAUCUCCCCAUCUACUAAUUCCCCUACUCUGUUUUUAACUGACAAAUCCAUUCAUUUCCUAGGCUUUCUUAACUUGUUUAACUCACUCCAAAAUUUUUUCUUCUCAUCAAAAUUUCUUGACAGUGCCUCUACCACUCUAUCUAUCAUCUGCUUUGCUUUUGCACACUCUCAUCACUCUCUUCACCUUUCUUUUACUCUCUAUAUACUCUGCUCUUCUUAUAACACUUCUGCUUUGUAAAAACCUCUUAUAGGCUACCUUUUUCUCUUAUAUCACACCCUUUAUUUCAUCAUUCCACCAAUCACUCCUCUUUCCAUCCUGCACUCGCCCUCCUAUAACCACAAACUUCUGCCCCACAUUCUAAUACUGCAUUUUUCAAACUAUUCUAACCCUCUUCAACCCCCCCCCCCCCUACGCUCAUACUUGCACCAGCCCACCUUUCUGGCAAUAGUUGCCUAUAUCUCACCAGAACUUCCUCCUCCCUUAGUUUAUACACUUUCACAUCUGUUUUACUUUCUGUUGCCCUUUUCCAUUUGUCACAUCUACUUCUUUCUCUAACUGUAGUUACAACUAAAUAAUGAUCCGAUAUAUCAGUUGCCCCUCUACAAACAUGUAGGUCCUGGAGCCUAUCCAUCAACCUUUUUUCCACCAAUACAUAAUCUAAAAACUAUAUUCAUUACAUGCUAUAUCAUAC